CUGCCCCCCCCCCCCCAGUCAAGCCGCUGGGCACACCCUAAUCGGAAAUUGGCUCAUAACAAUGUAACCCUGCUUUGUGCCCACAGUUUUGGCGCCAAACUGCGUGCCAAUUCUGACCAAAGUAAUAGGCCAGCUCAAAUGGAUACUAUAGGGUAAGAUGUAAUUCAAUUGGCCACCUGCGUGUGGACCGACAUGACUGUGCAACUUUCUGUGUAUCCCAUGGGCCACUGGCCCUUAUAAAGCUGCUACACCUCUUAGUCUCGGGGUCCAAGUCCCUGCUCUGCUGGGUGGGGUAUACUUGGACCCAAGCUCAAGCUUGUAAAUAAACCCCCUUGUGUUUGCAUAGGUGUCGGCUCCUCGGUGGUUUCUGGGAUUCACAAUCUUGGGCACAACAGUGUGUACGAGUGGGAGUGGGGGUCCCAGAAGAAAAAGAGUAAGGAAAAUACGUGCGUUCCGCCUGGAAAUUUUUAGGGCAACUUGAACUUGUUCAGAACCACCCCUAAUCCCAUCGUGCGCUGAACUGUAAGGAAGUACAUCCAGUUCCCAGGUACCCGGCUCAGCUGAUGCUGGGCACCCAAGGGGCUUCCCACCGAGAUGCGGUCGCUGCCAAUGGCGAAGGCGACAAGGGCCUCCUCUGCUGCAGAAAAACAUUUUCUUUUCUUUUUAAAAAAGAUUUUAUUUAUUCAUGAGAAACACACACACAGAGAGAGAGAGAGGCAGAGGGAGAAGCAGGCUCCAUGCAGGGAGCCCGACGUGUGACUCGAUCCUGGGACUCCAGGAUCAUGCCCCGGGCUGAAGGCAGGCACUAAACCCACUGAGCCACCCAGGGAUCCCAAGAAACAGUUUCAAAUCCAAAAGAUUCUGACUUCAUCAUUCACAGCAAGGGCGGCUCCUUCGGCAGACGUGCCCUGCUGAGCUGCUCCUACGGGGCCCAUCGCAGGUGUUCCCGUUGUCUCCACCCCAAGGUCGUGCAGCAAACCUGCUCUCCAGCAGUCGGGUCCCACCCGUCCCCCUCACGUGUUCCUGAACUACACGCCGAACACCUGCUGGGGGCGGGCCCUUUUCAGGAGGUGGGGAUUCGGUGGCAAACACGGCCCAUUCUCAGGAAUCUUCAAAACGAGUGGGACCCGGAGGGGACCCUCGUAGCCGAGCCCAAGCCCCAGAGCCGCGAACGACAGCAGCCCGCCGCGGUCCCAGCCACGCACGGAGUGGGCAGGCCCGGGAGCAACGCUAAGAGGCCGACAGGACCCGUACACGCGACCACCCGGACGCCAGCUUGAGCUGCUACCAAAUGUCUACGACCCUGG
rnacentral:lncRNA from 1 species